GGGGAUUUAGCUCAGCGGCAUAAGCGCCUGCCUUGCAAGCAGGUAGUCGUGAGUUCGAUCCCCG
rfam:Cavia porcellus supercont2_6 genomic scaffold, whole genome shotgun sequence.